AGUGGCGAACGGGUGAGUAAUACGUGAGUAACCUGCCUUUGACUCUGGGAUAAGCCUGGGAAACUGGGUCUAAUACCGGAUAUGACAAGGAACCGCAUGGUUUUUUGUGGAAAGGGUUUGUACUGGUUUUAGAUGGGCUCACGGCCUAUCAGCUUGUUGGUGGGGUAAUGGCUCACCAAGGCGACGACGGGUAGCCGGCCUGAGAGGGUGACCGGCCACACUGGGACUGAGACACGGCCCAG
rnacentral:rRNA from 1 species